CUGGGGGGAGGUUGGCCCAUCCUGGGAACGGAAACCGUGCAAAGCAAAACCAAGCUAAAACCCUCCACGAGGGGGGACCGCUGCGUUUGUUCACGGCUCUAGUCCAGUUCCCAGCAAACACAAGCAUCCGGAUGCAAUGCUUUUGCUGUAUUUGUGAGUUAAAUUCAAGCAAGCUCUUACCAAGAAAGCAAGCUGUGUCAGUAUAGAGGCUGGACAAAGAAGAAAGUAAUGAGCUAUGAAAAAGUCCUGAAUGAAGACUUUAGACGAAUUUCAAAGGAUGAGAAGUGUCCAGUUAUAGGAAGGAUAAGUUAUUCAGAAUGACAACGAGUCCUCUGUCUGUCGAGUGCUGAACAGAACCCUGGUCAUACAGGUGCCCAGCUCACAUGAAGCUGAAAGUGGUGGUUACUUGUCAAGUGACAUCUGGAUGAACAUGAGCAAAUGAAAGGCACCCAGAAAACCGAGGCUGAACGCUUCAUAUUACAUAAAAUAUGGAAGUGUCAUCUGCCAGUUGCCCAAGAUCCACACCUUUUGUCUCAUAUCUCUGGGACAGCUUCUGCUCCAACCUCAGCCCUUCCCCGGUCAGAAUUUUCCCUUCUCUUUGGGCCUAACGGUUGCACGCAUUCUACUGGCUCUGCCCCAGCUGUACUCUCUCUCAACAUGAUGUCCAGACCUGAUACCCUAUGCCAGGUGGGCUCUGACCGACACAGAAUAAAAUGGAACCAUCAC